rnacentral:rRNA from 1 species
UUUUCGGACCUAGCGGCGGACGGGUGAGUAAUGCGUAGGAAGCUACCCGAUAGAGGGGGAUACCAGUUGGAAACGACUGUUAAUACCGCAUAAUGUCUACGGACCAAAGUGUGGGACCUUCGGGCCACAUGCUAUCGGAUGCGCCUACGUGGGAUUAGCUAGUUGGUGGGGUAAUGGCUCACCAAGGCGACGAUCCCUAGCUGGUUUGAGAGGAUGAUCAGCCACACUGGAACUGAGACACGGUCCAGACUCCUACGGGAGGCAGCAGUGGGGAAUAUUGGACAAUGGGCGCAAGCCUGAUCCAGCCAUGCCGCGUGUGUGAAGAAGGCCUUCGGGUUGUAAAGCACUUUCAGCGAGGAGGAAGGGUUAGUAGUUAAUAGCUGCUAAUUUUGACGUUACUCGCAGAAGAAGCACCGGCUAACUCUGUGCCAGCAGCCGCGGUAAUACAGAGGGUGCAAGUGUUAAUCGGAAUUACUGGGCGUAAAGCGCACGUAGGCGGUUUUUUAAGUCAGAUGUGAAAGCCCCGGGCUCAACCUGGGAAUUGCAUUUGAAACUGGAAAACUAGAGUGUGUGAGAGGGGGGUANAAUU